UCUAUCUGAUUCCAAAGCACUGUGGUUUGAGCCCACCCAUGAUGCACAUGCUAGAGUCUCUGUACCACUGGGGAACAGGGGAGAUGGUAAAGAGUUCAUCACAGUUCUCUGAACAUGCUUCAGCCCUUCUACAUGAACAUAGCAUCGCUGAUCCUUGUUCUACGGACCACCUGCUAUGAACUGUUUGUCCAGGUGCGAUGCAUUUUUCUUGUUAAUUCCCAAGUUCUUCUCUGUUCUCUUUUAAGACUAGGACAUAUACUGGCUAUUCACGGAUCCAGAGGAAAGAAAAGUGUCUUGGCCGUAGAAGGGUGUUCAAACUCUGACUUAGGCUCCUCAGACGCUACAUACAAAACAGCUGGCUUAGUGAGCCUCCUGCUGUCUCCCUGCACAGACCCGACAAUCUCAGAGGAGGAAGAAAUCUCAGAAAUUCUUGAGUCCAUCCUUCUCCCAUGUGAGCUUCCAUGGAAGCCAAAAUCAGCUACAGUUAUGGUCUUUAAGACACAGGACGGCUAUGACCAAAAAUACUGAGGGUUGGUGGGGAUGUGAAGAGAUUGGAAUCCACCUCCCUUGCUGCUGGGAACCUAAACUGGUGCAGUUGUUUUGGAAAACAGUCUGGCAAUUCCUCGAAGAUUAAAUAUGGUGUCGCCAUGAGACCCAACGAUUCCAUUGCUAGGUGUGUACCCAGAGAAAUGAAAGUGUAUGUCCACACAAAAACAUGUACACCAUUUCACAGAAGCAUCACUCGUAACCGGCAAAAAGUGGAAACAACACCAACGUCCAUCGACUGAAGCAUGGACAGAGGAAAUGUGGCCCAUCCGUACAAUGGAAUGUCAUUUACCAUAAACAGGAGUGAAGUACUGAUGGAUGCUACAACCCGGAUGAAUUUUGAAACAUUAUAUUAAGUGAAAGAAGCCAGACAUAAAAGACCUCGUGUUCGCUAAUUCAAUUUAUACGAAAUGUCCAGAGCAGGCAAAUUCAUAGAAACAACAAGCAGAUUAGCGGUGCCUAGGGUUGGGGUGGGAAUGGUUUGGAGGUAAAUAUGGGGUGACUGCGAAUGGGUAUGAGGUUUCUUUUUGGGAUGAUAAAAAUGUUCUAAAAUUGAUUGUGGUGAUAGUUGCACAACUCUAUGAAUAUACUAAAAUCCAUUGAAUUUAAACGGGUGGAUUAAAUGACAUGUGAAUUACACCUUAAGGAAAUUGUUUAAAUAAUCUAUUUAUGUGUAGAGAGGCACAGAAAAAACUUUGCAAAGUAUUUUUUAUUGCAUUCAUAAUAGUUUAUAACAUUGUGAAAUUUCAGUUGUACCUUAUUAUUUGUCAGUCACCAUGUAAGUGCACCCCUUCACCCCUUGUGCCCAUCCCCCAACUCCUUUCCCCUUGGUAACCACUAAACUGUUCUCUUUGUCCGUGUGUUUGUUUAACUCCCACAUAUGUGUGCAAUCAUAUGGUGUUUGUCUUUCUCUGUCUGGCUUAUGUCACUUAACAUAAUACCCUCAAGGUCCAUGCAUGUUAUUGCAAAUGGGACAAUUUUGUCAUUUUUUAUGGCUGAGUAGUAUUCCGUUGUGUAUAUAUACCACAUCUCCUUUAUCCAAUCAUCAGUCGAUGGGCACUCGGGUUGUUUCCAUGUCUUGGCUAUUGUGAAUAAUGCUGCAUAAGCCUCUUUGAAUUGUUGAUUUCAAGUUCUUUGGAUAAAUACCAGUAGUGGGAUAGCUGGGUCAUAUGGUAUUUCUCUUCCUAAUUUUUUGAGGAAUCUCCAUACUGUUUUCCAUAGUGGCUGGAGCAGUUUGCAUUCCCACCAGCAGUGUAUGAGGGUUCCCUUUUCUCCAUCCUCUCCAACAUUUGUUAUUUUUUGUCUUGGUGAUUAUAGCCAUUCUAACGGGUGUAAGGUGGUAUCUUAGUGUAGUUUGAUUUGCAUUUCCCUGAUGAUUAGUGAUGCUGAACAUCUUCUCAGGUGCCUAUUGGCCAUCUGUAUAUCUUCUUUAGAAAAAUGUCUGUUUUGCACAUUUUUUGAUCAGGUUGUUUAUUUUUUUGCUGUUCAGUUGUGUGAAUUCUUUAUAAAUUAUGGAGAUUAACCCCUUGUCGGAUAUAGGAUUUGCAAAUAUUUUCUCCUAGUUGGUGGGUUGUCUUUUCGUUUUGAUCCUAGUUUCCUUUGCCUUCCAGAAGCUCUUUAGUCUGAUGAAGUCCCACUUGUUUAUUUUUUCUUUUGUUUCCCUUGCCCAAGUAGACAUGGUAUUUGAAAAGAUCUAAGACCGAAGUCAGAGAGUGUACUGCCUGUAUUUUCUUGUAGCAGUUUUAUGGUUUCAGGUCCUACAUUCAAGUCUUUGAUCUAUUUUGAGUUUGUUUUUGUGGAUGACAAAAAAUAUUGGUCUACUUUCAUUCUUUUGCAUGUGGCUGCCCAGUUUUCCCAACACCAUUUGUUGAAGAGACUUUCCUUUCUCCAUUGUAUGUUCUUGGCUCCUUUGUCGAAGAUUAGCUGUCCGUAGAUGUGUGGUUUUAUUUCUGGGCUUUCAAUUUUGUUCCAUUGAUCUGUGUGCCUGUUUUUGUACCAGUACCAUGCUGUUUUGAUUACUAUAGCUUUGUGGUAUAUUUUGAAGUCAGGGUUUAUGAUGCCUCCAGCUUUGGUCUUGUUUCUCAGGACUCCUUGGGCUAUUCAGGGUCUUUUGUUGGCUCAUAUGAACUUUAGGAUUCUUUGUUCUAUUUCUGUGAAGAAUGUCAUUGGGAUUCUGAUUGGGAUUGCGUUGAAUGUGUAGAUUGCUUUAGGUAGCAUGGACAUUUUAACUAUGUUUAGUCUUCCAAUCCAUGUUCAUGGAAUAUGUGGAAAGUAUUUUUAAUCAGAAUGUUAAUAGUGGUUUUCUUUAACUGUGGGGUUAUCUUAAAUUUCCAUUUGUGUACCUUCCAGUAUCUUUUGAAGUAUGUAAAGAUUGUGCAUUUAUACAAUCAGAGAAACAAGACAAAUCUCUUAACUGUUCAGGACUGUUUUUAAAACCCUUAGGUCUAGGACUUUUACAAGUGGGGCCCCACUCCAUCGCAUCAGACAGAUUAAAAUGCCCUGGAGCCCCACGUUAACUGUACUUCUUUCCAUGAAAAUAUUUGAAACAACUCAUAAUUUUGCCUUUGAAACUAUUAGGCUACAAAAAACAUUUAUAAUUGGCUUUGACUUUCUCAGCAGUCAUCAUGCAAACUUGGGAAUUUGUGCAAGGAAGAAAAUAUGUAAACUACAGACAGUUUUCCAAUGUGAUAAGAUUUUUAUGAAUUUGACAUAAUGUUACCUUUCAUAGACAUUUAAACAUUGUUUAUUUUUUUCAGGGUUUUGGUUUCUGUAUUUAGUAGCCGAUACAAUUUUUGAGGCCCUCAAUACUUUGGUGGGCCUGAGACAAGCUCAGAGGCCCUGAGCCCCAGGCCUGUGGGGUGCCAACAUCCAGGGCAGGAGCCCUCCCCAUUGGGGUGAUGUCCACCUGUCUGUGCCCAGUGCCUAACACAGGGAUGGGAAAAUAAUCUGAACUCACCAAGUAUCUUUGGAUUGAUAGAUUUAUGGAGGCUUCAAAUCUUUCAAUCCUCCUUAAGAAGUGUGAUUUUAUUUAAAAGUCUUUCCUCUAUUUCAGAGGAAAGUAUUUCCUUUAUUCUCCAUAGACAAGGAGAACAUAUGUUUGCAUUCUUCCAUUAAAAACCCUACAUGUUCUUGAAAAAGUAAUCAAGAUGCCUCUUAUCAACUGUUUUAUUGAUGAAACAAUCCCGGCUCACUUAACUAGUCCCUAAAAAAACCUAGUUUUGGGGCCAGCCCCAUGGUGGAGUGGUUAAGUUCGCACGCUCUGCUUCAGCAGCCCAGGGUUUCGCUGGUUUGGACCCUGGGCGCAGACAUGGCUCCACUCAUCAGGCUAUGCUGAGGCUGCAUCCCACAUGCCACAACUAGAAGGACCCACAACUAAAAUAUACAACUAGGUACUGGGGUGAUUUGGGGAGAAAAAGCAAAAAAAAAAACCCUUAGUUUUAUGAUCAGUUAUACACCCUGUCCAGUGUCUAUGUGUCAUUGCCAACUCUUACUGGGUAUAACAUUUCAUAAAUGUUUGACUGAUACAAAACACAGGGGAGGAUUUAUUCUCCCAAAUCAUACUGCUGUUUUCAUUUUAUUUUAAAAGCCAACUGUUACUCAGCUUGUGGUCAUCCCUGAUCCCAUGCUCUUUAUCUUUCUACCUUGGAUCUCGUUAAGUUUUUCCCCAUCCCAUAUUUAAAUGAUUACUCUUUCUUCUAUAACUACUGUCUUGGAAUUACGUACUGAGUUUUAUAAUUUUUAAAUAAAUUAAAUUCCAUUUUGUUUUACAGAAUUUUAGCUACUGGAGUUUCAAUGAAUGCACAGUUUGGCCAAAUGUUGGAUGUCCAACCAUUAAACCCAAUAUUUGACUUAAGAUAUAUGUUUCCCAUAAAAUAAACUUCCAGGAUAUAAUAGAAUAUCUGAAUAUUUUUUCUCCUGAGGAACAUUAGCCCUAAGCUAACAUCUGUGCCAAUCUCCCUCUAUUUAACAUGUGGGUCACCUUCACAGCAUGGCUGACAAGUGGUGUAGGUCCAUGCCCCAGAUCCAAACCUGUGAACCUGGGCCUCUAAAGAGGAGCACACCGAACUUAACCACUAGGCCACAGGGCCGGCCCCUGACAUUUUAUUUUAAAUAUUCAAGCAUUAGAACUUCUUACAUUUGAUAGUCAUAUUUUAAAGGUUUAAUACAGUAUGGAAAAAUCUCUCAUCACUGUCAACUAUAUCGCUCCUACAGGCACAGUUACAACAUUAAAUACGUGUUCAUUUUCAAUUGAUGACAGAAGAAUAAAAUAGUUUAAUGUUUCUCACUUUUUGCUAAUACAUUCUUCAUUUAUUCAAACUUUUUAUAUUCUGUGCUAUGUCUGGAUAGAAGGUAAUUCAUAAUUAAUAUAUUAUACAUGAGUUCAGAGACUUUCUCUUCGUGAGACUUUGAUGUUCUGCUUGUAAUUCAUCCUACAAGCCAUGAAGAUUUCCCAAAUGCAACUUUUCUCAACAGAUUCGUCACCUAAAUGGAUUCAGCUAUAAAUUUAUUAUAGUCUUUAAAUAUUUUGUUUCAUGUCAUAAAUGCAAGUCACUAAGCAAUUCAACAAUUAAGAUAUAAUCGAAUCUCUCUUACGCUGCCUUACACAAUUAUUUACAUUUUUAUAAACCUUUUUUGGCACUCUGCUCUUCUUAAAGUUGUCUAGCUAAUACACUCUCACUAUUCAUACUAAGAAUCGACCUAUCUCCCUAUUUGUUUACCUUUUUGAAUGUUCUUAAUAAUUGUCUUUACACAUAAAAUUAACAUUGCUCACAAUCAAUUAGUGCAGCAUUUUUUUCUUGCAAUAAAAAUUAUGCAUGUUUUCUUCAGCUGACUGAAGGAUUUGGGGGCAAAGAGCACAUAGAAGAUAUUUUCUCCAAGCGGCAUCUAAAAUACUUACCUAUAUCGUGAGAGAAAAUCUACCGAUAUUAACACAACAUCCCAAUUAUAAUCCUGACAUGGAGCUGACUAGUGACAAUCACACAGCAGGUCGGGGACGCCGGGAAUGGUGUGGAGGUGGGCAUUUGGCUCCCCUUCCAAAGCCAAAGCGAAAAACCAGAUUUGGGCCAAAUGCUAGGGCCAAAGCUAAAUUUUGUGCAACUCUCUAUCAGUCACAGGGCAUGGACUGU
rnacentral:lncRNA from 1 species